rnacentral:rRNA from 1 species
AGCGAACGCUGGCGGCAGGCCUAACACAUGCAAGUCGAACGAACUCUUCGGGGUUAGUGGCGGACGGGUGGGUAACACGGGGGAACGUGCCUUUUGGUUCGGUAUCACUCAGGGAAACUUGUGCUAAUACCGCAUGUGCCAUUCGGGGGAAGGAUUUAUGGCUAUUAGCUCGGCGCGCGUCUGAUUAGCUAGUUGGUGAGGUAACGGCUAACCAAGGGCAGGUUCAGUAGCUGGUCGGAGAGGAGGACCCGCCCCACUGGGACUGAGACACGGCCCAGACCCGGACGGGAGGGAGCAGUGGGGAAUCUUGCGGAAGGGGCGAAAGCCUGACGCAGCCACGCCGCGUGAAUGAGGAAGGUCUUAGGAUUGUAAAAUUGUUUCUCCGGGGACGAUAAUGACGGUAACCGGAGAAGAAGCCCCGGCUAACUUCGUG